GUGCUCGCUUCGGCAGCACAUAUACAAAAAUUGGAACGAUACAGAGAAGAUUAGCAUGGCCCCUGCACAAGGAUGACACACAAAUUUGUGAAGCAUAAUGGACUACG